GGGUAAAGGCCGUACCAAGGCUACGACGGGUCGCUGGUCUGAGAGGACGACCAGCCACACUGGCACUGAGAUACGGGCCAGACUCCUACGGGAGGCAGCAGUGAGGAAUAUUGCGCAAUGGGGGAAACCCUGACGCAGCAACGCCGCGUGUGGGAAGAAGGCCUUCGGGUCGUAAACCACUUUUGCACGGGACGAAAAAAGGGAUAUCGAACAAAUAUCCCCGAUGACGGUACCGUGAGAAUAAGCCACGGCUAACUCUGUGCCAGCAGCCGCGGUAAGACAGAGGUGGCAAGCGUUGUUCGGAAUUACUGGGCGUAAAGAGUCUGUAGGUGGUUUGUCAAGUCUUUGGUGAAAGGCCGUAGCUUAACUAUGGGAAUGCCAAAGAGACUGGCAGGCUGGAGGCUGGGAGAGGGAAGCGGAAUUUCUGGUGUAGCGGUGAAAUGCGUAGAUAUCAGAAGGAAGG
rnacentral:rRNA from 1 species